rnacentral:rRNA from 1 species
CCUGAGAAACCCAAAAGAUCGAAUGGGGAGAUUCAUCGUCAGCGAUUUCGGCGCGUGUGCGGUUCGCGAUGCCGGAGGCCUCGGUCUCCAGGCACGCGUCCGCAUGUUUUUCAUUGCCGUAAACGUCGGCGUGCACUUCUCCCCUAGUAGGACGUCGCGACCCGUUGGGUGUCGGUCUACGGCCCGGGCGGUAGCCUGUCUCGUGUUCGCUUCGCGGCGUUACGCGGUUCAGACCCCCGGAUGCCCGACCGGCUGCUCGGCGGUACGCGCACGGUAUCUGGCCGCAAACAUUCGAACUGCGUCCGGCCCGUCGCAAGCGAGGCAAGUGUUUCCCGGCUGUACGGAUCUAAUGCCGUCACCGGGCCUUGCCAGCUGUUGGUUGACGGUGUCCUAGGACAGGCCAAUGCAAUUAUGAUACCGGUCGGCGACNCUACUGCUUUGGGUACUUUCAGGA